rnacentral:rRNA from 1 species
UACGGGGGGGGUAAGCGUUGUUCGGAAUUACUGGGCGUAAAGGGCUCGUAGGCGGCCAACUAAGUCAGACGUGAAAUCCCUCAGCUUAACUGGGGAACUGCGUCUGAUACUGGAUGGCUUGGAUUCGGGAGAGGAAUGCGGAAUUCCAGGUGUAGCGGUGAAAUGCGUAGAUAUCAGGAGGAACACCGGUGGUGUAGACGGCUCACUGGACCGUAACUGACGCUGAGACACGAAAGCGUGGGUAGCAAACAGG